ACUCAAUAAUUGAAGAAGAAUUUGUCAGUUUGGUUACUGGCUGUUGCUACCGCCUUCUGGAGAAUCCCACCAUUAAUCACCAGAAGAACCGCCCCACUCGGGAAGCCAUAACACACCUGCUUGGUGUAGCCUUGACCCGUUAUAACCAUAUGCUCAGUAAGUUACCAGUCACUUUGCCCCGCCUUUUUUGUAUUGCCCAUAAUUUCUUAUGUUUAGUGCUUCCACAGGUGCUACAGUGAAGAUCAUCCAGAUGCUGCAGCACUUUGAACACCUGGCACCUGUACUGGUUGCGGCCGUGAGUCUAUGGGCAACUGACUAUGGAAUGAAGAGCAUAGUGGGAGAGAUUGUAAGAGAGAUUGGACAAAAGUGUCCCCAAGAGCUGAGUCGAGACCCUUCAGGGACAAAGGGCUUUGCAGCAUUCCUGACAGAACUAGCAGAACGUGUCCCAGCUAUCCUGAUGUCCAGCAUGUGCAUUUUGCUAGACCACCUGGAUGGAGAGAAUUACAUGAUGCGUAAUGCUGUGCUAGCAGCCAUGGCGGAGAU
rnacentral:sRNA from 1 species